GAUGAACGCUAGCGGCAUGCUUAACACAUGCAAGUCGAACGGAAAGGCUCCGCUCUAGUGGGGUGCUCGAGUGGCGUACGGGUGAGUCACUCGUGAGUAUACUGCCCUUGUAUCUGGGAUAAAUUUGGAUAAAUACCGCUUAUUAUAGAUAGACGCUACUGCUGCCUGGUGAGGGUUGGGACGUUUAGGCGGUGGUGGACGGGCUAGCGGCUUAUUGGCUUGUUAGUGGAGUAGUCGCUUGCCAAGGCUUUGAGGGGCAGCGGGCCUGAGAGGGUGAACGGCCAAAUUAGGACUGAGAUACGGCACAGACUCCUGCGGGAGGCAGCAGUGGGGAAUAUUGCAUGAUGGACGGAAGCCUGAUGCAGCAACGCCGCGUUCGGGAUUACGGCCUUCGGGUUGUAAACCACUUUCGCCUGUGACGAAGCGUGAGUGACGGUAAUGUGUAAAGAAGCACCGGCUAACUACGUG
rnacentral:rRNA from 1 species